CCUACGGGUGGCAGCAGUGAGGAAUAUUGGUCAAUGGACGAGAGUCUGAACCAGCCAAGUAGCGUGAAGGAUGACUGCCCUAUGGGUUGUAAACUUCUUUUAUAUGGGAAUAAAAUGUUCCACGUGUGGGUUUUUGUAUGUACCUUCUGAAUAAGGAUCGGCUAACUCCGUGCCAGCAGCCGCGGUAAUACGGAGGAUCCGAGCGUUAUCCGGAUUUAUUGGGUUUAAAGGGAGCGUAGGUGGAUUGUUAAGUCAGUUGUGAAAGUUUGCGGCUCAACCGUAAAAUUGCAGUUGAUACUGGCAGUCUUGAGUACAGUAGAGGUGGGCGGAAUUCGUGGUGUAGCGGUGAAAUGCUGAGAUAUCACGAAGAACUCCGAUUGCGAAGGCAGCUCACUGAACUGCAACUGACACUGAGGCUCGAAAGUGUGGGUAUCAAACAGGAUUAGAUACCCUGGUAGUC
rnacentral:rRNA from 1 species